rnacentral:rRNA from 1 species
CAGUAGCCGCGGUAAUACGAAGGGUGCAAGCGUUACUCGGAAUUACUGGGCGUAAAGCGUGCGUAGGUGGUUGUUUAAGUCUGCUGUGAAAGCCCUGGGCUCAACCUGGGAAUUGCAGUGGAUACUGGGCGACUAGAGUAAGGUAGAGGAUAGUGGAAUUUCCGGUGUAGCAGUGAAAUGCGUAGAGAUCGGAGGGAACAUCUGUGGCGAAGGCGACUAUCUGGGCCAUUACUGACACUGAGGCACGAAAGCGUGGGGAGCAAACAGGAUUAGAUACCCGUGUAGUCCCUGUCUCUUAUAC